GCCAAGAUGGGCUGGUUUUCAUGUACUGGGAAUGUCUUGUCAGUUUCUAUCACUGGGAUAUGAUCAUUGUGCCUCGGAAAGUUAGAGCCAGUCUCAAACAUUUGUCUUUAUUUAACCAACACAGAAUCUCUCUGAAAGAGAGGAAGAAAUAGAAGCUCAGAAACACGAACCUAAGGUGAAUUGCCAAUGAAGGAACAAGGGAGCUGAGUUGUCUGAAGCAGCUCUCUCUGCUGUCAUUUGAGCCAGGUCUGACCAUCCAGCUACCGUAUAAAUGAUGUCGAGUUAACUGGAUAGAAUGGUUUACACCUGUGAUCCAGCAUCCAGGAAGUUGAAGCAGAAGAAUUCUAAGUUUGAGGCCAACCUGGGCUACAUAGAAUGCCUCUGUCUCCAAAACAAAGAAACAUUGUUAAAAUACAAUUUAAAAAUUAGAGCUUGACCAUUCCGUUAGUUUCCUGACAUGUGAUAACCCAAAAGCCCUUGUCACAAGCAGUAGUGGACAUCUUUGACCACGUAAGGUUCGGACAAUA